CUGCAGGAGACCCAGAAUCAAUAGUGAAUCAGUAGAUUGUACUUUAAAAUUGUUCUGGGAAACUCGGAUGUAGAGUACGUCUGCUGGUAGCAACAGAGACGUACAGGGUUGUAAUGAGAGGGACCCGAGACCCAGAAAUAAAAUUCCAACAAUCUAUGGUGACCAAGACGUGUUGCAAGAGAGGUAAAAGAAGUCCGGGACUUCGAGAAAAACCACGAGUCUGGGACUCGGGUCAGGGACCCACGUCCACACCAGGUGACGACCUGACAAAGGAGCCACGUGUCCGAGCGUCUUUCCUCUUGGGCCCACAGUGAAACAAGCUUGAGUUUUGACAAACGCCGCACUCAAGCCAAACUGUCCGUCCUGGUCAUCCUGGGCCGGCAUGGAUUGUAGCCACUGGUGGUAGUAACCACGGAAGCCAUCGAUCUGGAUUAGGUAGUUGUUGCGGGACUUGUACU